rnacentral:snRNA from 1 species
AGCUUUGCACAGUGGCAGUAUCAUAGCCAAUGAGGUUUAUCCAAGGCACAAUUAUUGCUGGUUA